rnacentral:rRNA from 1 species
UUGGAGGGCAAGUCUGGUGCCAGCAGCCGCGGUAAUUCCAGCUCCAAUAGCGUAUAUUAAAGUUGUUGCAGUUAAAAAGCUCGUAGUUGAAUUUCGGGGUCAGAGUGUCGGUCGUGCCUCGGUACGCACUGGUAUUAUUGGUUCCUACCUUCUGAAGAACCGCGAUGUCAUUAAUUUGGUGUCGUGGGGAAUCAGGACUGUUACUUUGAAAAAAUUAAAGUGGUUAAAGCAGGCUUACGCUUGAAUACAUUAACAUGGAAUAAUGAAAUAGGACGUUUGAUUCUAUUUUGUUGGUUUCUAGGAUUGACGUAAUGAUUAAUAGGGAUAGUUGGGGGCAUUAGUAUUCAAUUGUCAGAAGUGAAAUUCUUGGAUUUAUUGAAGACUAACUACUGCGAAAGCAUUUGCCAAGGAUGUUUUCAUUAAUCAAGAACGAGAGUUAGGGGAUCGAAGACGAUCAGAUACCGUCGUAAUCUUAACCAUAAACUAUGCCGACUAGGGAUCGGAUGAUGUUAAUUUUUUAUUGACUCAUUCGGCGCCUUACGGGAAACCAAAGUGUUUGGGUUC